UUGACUUAAGCAUAUCAAUAAGCGGAGGAAAAGAAACCAACAGGGAUUGCCCUAGUAACGGCGAGUGAAGCGGCAACAGCUCAAAUUUGAAAUCUGGCCCUUGGGUCCGAAUUGUAAUUUGUAGAGGAUGUUUUUGGUGCGGUAUCUUCCGAGUUCCUUGGAACAGGACGCCUUAGAGGGUGAGAGCCCCGUACGGUUGAAUGCCUAGCCUUUGUAAAACUCCUUCGACGAGUCGAGUAGUUUGGGAAUGCUGCUCUAAAUGGGAGGUAAAUUUCUUCUAAAGCUAAAUACUGGCCAGAGACCGAUAGCGCACAAGUAGAGUGAUCGAAAGAUGAAAAGCACUUUGAAAAGAGGGUUAAAUAGCACGUGAAAUUGUUGAAAGGGAAGGAUUUAUGACCAGACUUUUUCUAGGCGAAUCAUCCGGUGUUCUCACCGGUGCACUUUGUUUAGUUUAGGCCAGCAUCGAUUUUCGGGGUGGGAUAAAAGCUUCAGGAAUGUGGCUCCCUCGGGAGUGUUAUAGCCUGUUGUAUAAUACCGCCCUGGGGAUCGAGGUACGCGCUUCUGCAAGGAUGCUGGCGUAAUGGUUAUCAAUCACCCGUCUUGAAACACGGACCAAGGAGUCGAACAUUUGUGCAAGUGUUUGGGUGUUAAACCCUCACGCGUAAUGAAAGUGAACGGAGGUGAGAGCCCUUACGGGUGCAUCAUCGACCGAUCCUGAUGUCUUCGGAUGGAUUUGAGUAAGAGCAUAACUGUUCGGACCCGAAAGAUGGUGAACUAUGCGUGGAUAGGGUGAAGCCAGAGGAAACUCUGGUGGAGGCUCGCAGCGGUUCUGACGUGCAAAUCGAUCGUCGAAUCUGCGCAUGGGGGCGAAAGACUAAUCGAGC
rnacentral:rRNA from 1 species